rnacentral:lncRNA from 1 species
AAAUCAGAAAUGGUCACAGAAUUGCGAGCUUGGAGAAAGAUCAAAGAGACAGUGAGAAAAUAAAGCAAGUACACAUAACUGCAAUGAAUAUUGCUGAUAAGCACAUCCCAGUGGGUGCAGAAAACACACAGUACUGUUAUGACCACUCUCAAAGUUUGAGUUGAAACUUGAUAUUUGACUGAACAGAGACAAAAAGCUUGUAAAUACAUUACAGCUUAUUUCUAGUAAAAUCUGGUUUUAUUACCAUAGAGUCUAGACUGAACUGAGAUUGGAAUUCAAAUCUUCAUAGGUACUGUGCAGCUAAAAAAAGGAUAGAAGGAAAUGUUGAAGAAAGGUGGUAAUUUUUUCCAUUUUAUAGGUUGGAAACUAAAACACGAAGUGGUUUCAAGCUUAACUCAAAUCCCAGUGAUUUCUAUGGGCUGUGGUUAGACUUGGAUCACACCCAUGGUGUAGCACCUGCCCAGCUGCAGGCAGGACAGUGCAAGGGCAUGGCAAGAUAAGGCAAUAAUGCAGGUGGGUCUGCUGAAAACGGGACAAGGCAGCAGAGACAUUGCUGCCCAGGACCAUGAGGUCUGCAAGGACUCAUAGGAGGAGUGGGUGUUUCUGGAGACAUCCCUUAGUUUACUCACAGUGUAUCUUUAUGACUGCCCAGGAGCAAUCAAAAUUUAAGACUGAGAUCAUGAGGAAAUUUGAUUUUAAGGACACGAUAACAGGCAUUCUUUUAUCCACAUACAAUAACUCAAUGUAACAUGAGCAUUUGAAUACAGACCCAAGCUUCCCAUAAUUCAGGAAUAACCCAUUCCUCUAGUUUAAGUCCUUCAGAAAUCAAACAGUUCAGUUCAUCCAAAUGUAUGCAAAUUUGGAUGCUUCUCUUAAGUCUUCCAGAGUCUGCAAAAGUAGGGCAAUGAAUCUCGAAAAAUGUGUGUGACUUCAAGGAGAGUUCACUGCCAGGUGUGGCUGCAGAAUCAGACCUGAUGAAGCACUCCUUUUGCUCCAACUUCAUUUUCCAGAUCCCCCCUGGUAGAAUUGGCUCCAUGCACAUGAUGUACCUGGGUAUGAGCUAUACAGACAUUCCCUCAUCACCCAAAAGUGGGGUGUAUUCAUGGAAGACUAGGAGAAAUUCUCAUUCCAACGAUUUAAAAAGAUUGAGGUUAAUGACCUGAAUCCAUGUCCCUGCCAAAUAAAGCUAUAUUAAACUAAAGAAUUUGAGUGUUUCUGUACAUUCCAUUCUUGACUGAAAGUUUGUCAGUCAGCUCACCCUUUCUGAAACACAACGAAUUCACAAUAAUUAGAUUUAGUUUUGUAUUUUAUAGCUUAAUUACAAUCACUAUUUAACAAAAAUAGAAAUGACUAUAUAUAUUGUAAGUUAUGUUCUCAUUUAGACCACACUGCAUUUCUCAAUGUAUUCUUUAAAUUUUAAAUUUUAAAUUUUAAAUCAUUCUGUAUUAAUAUUGCAUUUCCCAUUGUCUUCCAUGUAUAAAUCUCAGCGCCACUGCUAUAUGAUUUCUGAUUUGUGUGCAACAAAGCACUUGCAGAAGAUGUGUUCAGUGCUCAGUUUCAGCAGGGCACACAUUUUUAAGGGCACACAGUCCAGCAUUUUUAAGCUACAGAAUGAAUAGACCCUUACAAUCCCAGAUGAAUACAGAGCCUUUUCUUGAGUUUUUAACCAGCAAUAUGCAGACAUGGGUUCCAUGAAAAAUCAAAGUCCAACCUGUUUACAAUGUACCUUACAAAAGUCUUUAUUGCUGCAGGUUCUGCAAACUAUGUGGUCUGUUAAAAACUUCACAACAGGUCCAAAAUAACAAAGUGCAAUAUUUUUACUAUUUGUUUCUUUAUUGCACUUGGUGUUCUUGAUUUUAAACAACAAUUUUUGUAAUCCUGCAGCCUUUGACAGCUGCAGUUGCUCUGCUGCUUCACUCUUUAAAAAUGUCUAUCAUCAUCUUCUUCCUUUAGUAUUUUGUGAAAUUUCCAUCUCUGCAAAUAAUCUGCCUUUAUAAAAUGAUGUAGAAAUAUGGCUAAAUAUUAGGACUCAGAUCAGCAUGCAAGAAUUAUAAUAAUAUUUUAAAUUAUUAUUUUGAUUUUCUUUUUAACUUUGACAAUAUUUCUCAUAUUUACAAGACAUGCUGAUCCCCAAAAACUAUCUCUAGUAAACAAUGUGCUAUAUCCAUAUAACAAUGCAAUGACAUACAGAGUGUGUUUGCAAUUGCAGCAUGAAACAUGCACUAACAUUGCUUAAAGCUUUCCAGCUUCUUUUCAGCAUUUUUACUGCCUCAUUUAGGAAAGCAUUAUUAAAGAAUUGAAUAAUGCAAAGGUAUUUUUAAACUGAAAUGCAUAGCUUAUAGUAUUUGCCACUAAUGGGAACAAGCAGUACUAUAAGAUGCUUAGCUUAGUCAGUGAAAAACUCAUGUGAAUUACCAUAAGCUUUUAGUCAGACAUUCAAGUGAAAUCUGUAAAAAUUGUUUCCAACAAUUCUGGGGCCAUCAAUUCUGCCUUAAAAUGACAUACCAACCUCCAUCAUUCUUUUCAGAUUAGGAUUUUCUUCUCUUCUGCCUGGGCCUUGAAGGUGACAUUAUGCAUAAAUAUGUAUAAACCACAUUUAUGCCCAUAUUGUACAAAUACUCAUUCUAUUUCCUCUGAAAGUCUACUCCACAUGUAUAGUACUUUUAUUUUACAUUUACUUUUAAUAUAAAUUUGUUCAACUCCAAAUUUUUAAGACAUAUGCUUGCCUUACACAAUUUAUUCUAGUGCAUUUACUCAUUUAUUUUAGCCAUAGACACCACAUGAGUGAGACAUGAGCCCACACAACUCUUUACCACAGCUGCCAUCUUCCUUUCCCUCCUGUGUCUGCAGCUCACUCGGACCCUGGUCUUGCAGUACCAAAGGCUGCAGAGGAUCAUGUGGGCCCCUCAGUGGGAUUUGUCAGUCACAGACUUUCGCAGCAGGACAGGGAAAGCCAGAGGAGCUUCACGCUGCAGGCAGUGAAGCCCGCAGAGCUCUGCUGCAGGAGCGCAGAACUGUACAGAGAGGACCCACGGUCCGUGGGUAGCCUGCAGCAGGGGAGCACCGGGGCUCAGUCUCACUGCUCACCCUGGGAGAAAAGUCUACAUUCUCCAGAUGCAGUUAUGUUUUACUCCACAAAGAAUAGACACAGAUUUGAGAACUGCAGCUAAAAGCAAGCCCAUGAGAAGUUUUAGAUGUUGGGAGCUUGGACAAAGGUCAGAUGACUCUGCUCCGCCUGACAAUUUGUUUUAUGUCAUCUGUCUGUAGUAAGCACUUUUUAACAACGGGUUCAAGUACCUCCUUUCCUACUACUACUCAAGUUCAAACUUCCUCAUGUAAAUCCUAGUCUGCCCUCAGUUUGUUUUUGCUAAUCAGGAAUUCUUGGAGCAAUACAAACACAUUUGUAUUUUUAGCACACAUUAUGUCCUUUCCAUCUGCAAGACAAUUAUAUAAGUUACUUCCCUUUUCUACUGGCUAAAUUAUUUUAUUAUGCUGUAUUGAUUAUAUGGAUUUAUUAUCAUAGUAGAGUUUGAGAUAAUAUUAGGAUUUCUGACUUAAUAAAACCGGCCAAAAAAGUAGGAUAGCAGAAAUAAAAUUAAAAUUUAAAUUUACAUUUUUGGCAUUUGUUCUCAGGAACAAAACAUAUGACUUCUGAACAACUUAUCGAUUUAGGAAACCAUUCCUUAUAGAGCACGGCCAGCGCACAGGAGAUGCUGAACACGGCGCAGGGAUAGAAGCGGCCGGCACUUGGAGCUCUGCAGGGGCAGCCUCCGAGGCCAGGCGGACAGAAGACAGGAGUAGAAAGAAAAGGAAGAACCGGCAGCAGAGCCCUGGGGGGCUCGCUGGUCACAACAAGUCACUAAUCACCGGCCUAACCCACCUCCUGCCAAGCUGACACUGCGCUUCAGUUGAUAAUGCAACUUCUCAGCACUGUGUUGCAGAACAAGUUGUACUUGGCAGACUGCCAUGGUGCUGAGUGAUCCUUCUCCUGCGGGAUUCCAAAGCUCCCACAAACACAACAGGUCACUUUCCACUAAUGUGACAUAAAAGAAAGAGAUUGAAAAUGUCAGUGUUGACAUUGGCUGCCUGAUGAAAUCAGUAUGCAGAACCAAGCUCUGUUUACAAAGCCAGAGUUUAAGGGAACUCAUGUAACUCCCUCUGUCCCCGAACUUCCCCUCUCCCACACACAGAUUCCCCACCACGCCGAACAGCUGCCUGAGGCCUGACCUGAAUGGCCACAAAGUAAUGAAUCUGAACCUUUUUUAAUAGUGCACAGCUAGUUUGGGAUGAGAAUGGCCGAAUAUCAAAGCUGCAUUGUCCUGCUGCACAAACAAAACCAAUACUUGAUGCCUGAAUAUUACUUAUGAAUGAGGAGAAUGGCAUACAAAUAAAUUGAUGACCUGCAAAAAGUUCCUAGGUUUGAUUGUUAGAAAAUGUGAUCACAAAACUAUGAAAUGGAGAGGAAAAUUGCUAAUGUGCUGUGGAACACCAUUCAUCAGGGUUACUUUUUACAACUCAUCACACUUCAGAAGAGGAUAUGUCAAAAUACACGGAGGACUAUUGAUUCAGCUCUAGCUGGUUUACAGCUAUCUGGAUUAAUUUCCCAAAGCUCUGUGGUGUUCAUACCCAAUAAAUGCCAAAAGCACUACCUGGGGUGUCAGGGAAUUCAGAUGGGCAAUUUAUUCUACCAAAUAGAACCCUACCCUUUUUUAAGAUAACUCAAGUCAUCCACUAUAACAAAAACUCAGGAAUGCUGGGCAGUUUACAAUGGAACUAUUAUGGGGUUUUAUCUAAUAACAACAUACUAAUACCUAACUAACAUUUUCUGAAACCCAAUAUUUGCCCACAGUACAAUGUAGGGCACUGAAGAAAUACCUGUGCUAUACCUGAACUGGAUGUUGUAGGGAAUGUUUAUCCAGCAGGCACUGGGCAAAGCAGCAGUACAGCUGUGCUGCCAAAGCUUUUGACGUGGUAAGGCUGAGCAGAGGGCCCUGUUCCUGAGCUGUGCUGCUCUCAGGAGCUGAGCUAUGCCUGCACUGCACCAUGGCAGCAUCCUGGAGACCCUCUGUUACUCACAGCCCAGGUAUGGCAUAACCACCGUGUCAGCUGCUCACAUCACCUUCCUCAUUCACUCUAAGGUCCUUCCAAAGAAAUAUUUCUGCAGGCAGGAAGGCAGACCAAGGCUUUAAAUCCCUCAGUAUUAGGCUUCUCCAGUGAGACUACCAGCUGCAUUUUUAAGAAAAGCCAAGCUGUGAUGUGCAUCAGCUGAAUGGCAGCCUAAUGUUAGUUAAACUUACUGAUAGCUUGUGCCAAAAAUUGUCAAUGUUCUUGCCUGUCAGCUCUUGCCCCCACAUUCCCAAUCUCUUCUGUGUCAUGGAAUAACCUAAAGAUUUUGACAUCCUAUAUCUGAAUUCUUGCCAUAGAAAUAAAGGUAUUUGCUUACAUCUUACAACUCCAAUACUUACAAAGUAGAAAGCCUUGCUCUAUCUCUGCUGCUAACCUAACAGAGAACCUUUUGGCUAUCAUGUCUGUGAAACCAAAGGCAAACCUUGCUUCACAAAUAUGUUAGGGUUUUUUUUUGACCAAAUAUCACAGUGGCUUCCUCUGUGAAAAAAACCCGCUUUUUCUAAUGCUACUUUCCCAGUCUUCUCUUCUGAGUUCUUUUCCCAUUAAAACUUAGUUCUUUCCAAGGUUAAUAUCACACCACAAAUAGGGAACUGUAUAAGGAAAAUUUCACAGUAUACACAGAAUACAAAGUGGAUAUUCAGCAAAGCAAUUUUCUAAAAUAAACUGUUUGAAGUGAUCUUGUGGGUUUUUUGUUAACAACAGUUUACUAAAUAUAGAAGAGGGAUUUUCUUACUGAACGGAAUCAUCAUUAAGAGCUCAAAGCAAAAAUUACUUUCAAAUUCGGGAAAGAUAAUUGAAAGGAUUGUUACACCUUGCCAAAAGCCUUCUAGGUGAACAUUUUAAAAAUGUUUUUAAUUACAGAGAUGAUGGAUGUGGUGGUGUUCAAAUCUAGAUACAGCACCGAAUACAGGGUAUGUUUUCUCAUUAAAUACAUUCCUGGAUUAAAAAUUAAAGGAAUCACAGACCUGUUGCCUCAUCUAGCUCUUGGAGCACAGUGAAUUUUCAUCUUGAAGCAAGCAGCGAUGAGGCACUGAGCAAUCUCAUUGCUGUGCUAGCUGUGGUAAGACAUUAACAGACAAACAGAAGAUUCUUAGUGCAUCUGGUUCUUAAGCACACCUGUACUUGUAAAAAGGUCUUGUUUAUUUCUUUCUUUCAAGACUAACUCAUAAUCUGUUAUCUUUGAUUCAAUAGUGUGUUUUUACUGGCAUUUCUGACAGUUAAGAAUCUAAAUCAGAUGUGCAGUUCAAUUUGUGUACUGCAUUCAAACCCAAUAAUUCCUACAAAGUUCUGUCUUAAGUUAUACUGAAAAGAUCUUCUGCUGGGUCUUGCAGCCUGGUUUCGGUAACAAAUAAAAAUACAGUUCAUUACUGUAGGGAAGUUUUGAUGUGAAUCAUCUUAUUUAAAAAUGGUAUAUUAGAAGAAAAUUAAUCACUGCUUGGUCUGUGAGCACUCCAGCACACUGUAGGUGCAAGUAUUAUUCAUUCUAAUGUGCAGUAACUUCACUAAAACAUUCAAUAUUUAAAUAUUUUAGCCAUAGACACAUUCUCCUCCUGGAAUUUGUAACGUCCUUACUUUGGGAACAGACAUUCCAUUCUGUACACACUGAAAGAAACAAAAUCACUGUAAGCAAAAUAAUCCUUUCAGUACUACCAGGUGCAUGUAUAUUUUUUCUCCUGGUAGUCUGCCCACACAGACUGAGAGUGCUCAACCCCAUCUGAUCCUGGAAAUGGAACACUACCAGCCCAGGUUAACAUUUAAAUGAGAGAUCAUAAGGUAAAGAAUCAUGGCUGAUGAAGAACAAACACUUGUGACUAAUUAGUCAAAACAUGUUAUGCCUCAUAGAUUGACUUUUUUUAGUCCUACUGUUCUUGCUAAAUUGCUACAGAAGUAAAAAAAAAAAAAAUCAAGAAUGAUGAAUUUCUAUCUAGAAAUGUAAUAAAACAGAAAUGAUCGUUACUUGCCAAUAGGACGGAAGAAAGACAGAAUAUGUUAUUAUAAUUAGGGACCUGUAUCCUCUUUCUGAAAUAACAAAAAUUCUGUUUUCCUUAAGAUGAGACACAAAUAUUUUCUACUUUAUCAAUUAUAAAUGUAGAGGUAUAACAUUUAAUAUAUUGAAUAUAUAUUAAUAUAACAUUUUUCAUUCCAAUGACUGAAUGCAAGAUAAAUACAGCAUUUCAAAUGCCACUCUUUUCUAUCGACUGACAAUAAAUUACUUAUUCAGUUCACCAUUAGGCAAAGAGUGCUUUGAUAUAGCUGACAUAUUGGAAAAGUAGUUAGUAAUAAAAUAUGCUGAAAUAUUUUGAAGGGACUGAUCCUACCAGCAUGUCUGAACUGAGCACAGCAGCUUUAUGAAUUAAAUUCACUUUAUAAGGUGUAAAUGCUGCGUUCUCUAGACAUCCACAGAAUAUGAGAUAGGAUCUCCCUAACAGAACCCUCUCAAAAUUAAUUUGUCCAUCUUUACAUAGAACAUAAAAGGAAAUUAAAAAUCAAGGAUCUUUGUUGACUUAAAUAGUUUAUAUUGAUGUUAUUUUAGUUUACAGUUUAGUUUAUAAUUUUAGUAGAUCUUUUAGAAAUUUAUAUUCAUUGUCUAUAGAAUAUUAGAAAACCAUUCAGCUGCAGUUUUGUCAAGAUAAAAACUGUCCCAGAAAGUUUACAACAUUCUUACGUAUUCUUAACAUAUUUUCACAAUUAAGACUUUUUCCAAUCUUUU